GAAUCCCGUCUUUGACAUGGACUGCCUGUACAUUAUGGUGCGCUCUCAAAGAGUCGAGUUGUUUGGGAAUGCAGCUCAAAAUGGGUGGUAAAUGCCAUCUAAAGCUAAAUAUUGGCGAGAGACCGAUAGCGAACAAGUACCGUGAGGGAAAGAUGAAAAGAACUUUGGAAAGAGAGUUAAACAGUACGUGAAAUUGCUGAAAGGGAAACGCUUGAAGUCGGUCUCGUUGGCUAGAAAUCAGCCUUGCUUUUGCUUGGUGUACUUUCUGGUUGACGGGUCAGCAUCAAUUUUGACCAUUGGAUAAAGUCGUUGGGAAUGUGGCAUCUUCGGAUGUGUUAUAGCCCAUUGUCGCAUACAGUGGUUGGGAUUGAGGAACUCAGCACGCCGCAAGGCCGGGUUUCGACCACGUUCGUGCUCAGGAUGCUGGCAUAAUGGCUUUAAUCGACCCGUCUUGAAACACGGACCAAGGAGUCUAACAUGCCUGCGAGUGUUUGGGUGGAAAACCCAUGCGCGCAAUGAAAGUGAAAGUUGAGAUCCCCUCAGGGAGCAUUGACGCCCGGACCAGAAACUUUUGCGAAGGAUCCGCGGUAGAGCAUGUAUGUUGGGACCCGAAAGAUGGUGAACUAUGCCUGAAUAGGGUGAAGCCAGAGGAAACUCUGGUGGAGGCUCGUAGCGAUUCUGACGUGCAAAUCGAUCGUCAAAUUUGGGUAUAGGGGCGAAAGACUAAUCGAACCAUCUAGUAGCUGGUUCCUGCC
rnacentral:rRNA from 1 species